UAAGGAAUAUUGGUCAAUGGAGGCAACUCUGAACCAGCCAUGCCGCGUGCAGGAAGACGGCCCUCUGGGUUGUAAACUGCUUUUAUUCGGGAAUAAACCUAUCUACGUGUAGAUAGCUGAAUGUACCGAAGGAAUAAGGAUCGGCUAACUCCGUGCCAGCAGCCGCGGUAAUACGGAGGAUCCAAGCGUUAUCCGGAUUUAUUGGGUUUAAAGGGUGCGUAGGCGGCCUGUUAAGUCAGGGGUGAAAGACGGUGGCUCAACCAUCGCAGUGCCCUUGAUACUGAUGAGCUUGAAUGGACUAGAGGUAGGAGGAAUGUGACAAGUAGCGGUGAAAUGCAUAGAUAUGUCACAGAACACCGAUUGCGAAGGCAGCUUACUAUGGUUUUAUUGACGCUGAGGCACGAAAGCGUGGGGAUCGAACA
rnacentral:rRNA from 1 species